rnacentral:rRNA from 1 species
UGGGGAAUAUUGCACAAUUGGCGCAAGCCUGAUGCAGCCAUGCCGCGUGUAUGAAGAAGGCCUUCGGGUUGUAAAGUACUUUCAGCGGGGAGGAAGGGAGUAAAGUUAAUACCUUUGCUCAUUGACGUUACCCGCAGAAGAAGCACCGGCUAACUCCGUGCCAGCAGCCGCGGUAAUACGGAGGGUGCAAGCGUUAAUCGGAAUUACUGGGCGUAAAGCGCACGCAGGCGGUUUGUUAAGUCAGAUGUGAAAUCCCCGGGCUCAACCUGGGAACUGCAUCUGGUACUGGCAAGCUUGAGUCUCGUAGAGGGGGGUAGAAUUCCAGGUGUAGCGGUGAAAUGCGUAGAGAUCUGGAGGAAUACCGGUGGCGAAGGCGGCCCCCUGGACGAAGACUGACGCUCAGGUGCGAAAGGGUGGGGAGCAAACAGG